rnacentral:lncRNA from 1 species
CUUACAUUGGAUAAAGUAUGCAUAGCAGGCUCCUUUAAACCAAGCUUCUCUGUAAUUUCAGAGUGGAGCAGUAACCCCCCUCAAAAAAUAAACUUCAGCUUUUAAUUCUGUUCAUCAUCUUAAAACAAGGGUCUGCAACCAAACCUGAGCCUACAUGUCAGGCCAUCGUCAUAUGUAUUGAGUACUCACUGUGUGUCCAGGGCACUGGGAAGUAUGUCAAAGUAGAAAAAGGGAAAUUAGCUUCCCUGCUGUCCUGUAAACUGUGUUAUGGACAAAAGUAAAUGACAUGAUAUUAAUUAGGAAUACAUGCCACCAAAAAGGCUAAUAUAAAAUAAGAGUUCACUGGACAGUGAUUUGUGGAGUUGAGGGCAUGUUGAAGUGCUGAUGGCUUUUGAAGUCAAAGUAGUUUAAGAGAUUAAGAUAAAAAUGAACACCUGUUCCAGUGAAGAGACCUGCUGGGAAGUACAGGGUGUUAGGGAGCAGCAGCAGCCACAGCCUAGAGUACAUUGGAUUACUCCAUAGUAGAAUAGAAUUGUGCAAAGCUUGUGAAGAGCUUGGACUGCUCAAGCUAAGGAAUAUGCAUUUUAUUCUGUAGGCAAUGAGAGACUGUUUUUGUAGAAAAGAGUAUUGUCAUCACAACUAUUCUUAGAAGGAUAGAAAGAAGGAAUAGAACUGGUACAUUUCUAAACUAAGAGUUUCUAGGUUUCCCAAUUCCUUGCAAUACAGAAUUCAAGUUAGGUACAUUUCAUUCUUGUGGAGGA